rnacentral:lncRNA from 1 species
AAACAAAUGUGGCUGACUUUAGCAAACCAAUGAUACCAAGUAUCCAGAGAAGUUUAAGUAUCUAUGAUUUUCUUACCAUCCAUUCUUAAAUACUGGAAGAAUAUUAGUUUAAUUAAGAAAAAGAAAGUAAAACAAUAAAAUGAAAGAAACUUCAGCCUCUGCCCCAUAAUAUAUAAUUUGAUUUUCAAGAGUAAGCAAGUUUUUGAAUUUAUAAAUAGGUCAAAUAUUUUCUACUAUAAGUCUGGCUUUCCUUACAGAAUAUAGGUAAAGUUUAUGGAUUUAGAAGUUGAGAAAACUUCAUAUAAUGUUCUGCAAGCCAUUUAAGAAAAAGAGGGUCAUGAAGUUUUCAUGGUUCCUUUAAAACAAUGUACAUAUCGCCCAAAGUCUACUCCUCUGGCCACACAUUUUAAGUCGACCAUUGAAGUUGCAAAUUGCAGAUAUAGAUGAUUUAUAAUUAAGGUAAUCCCAAAAGACUAGAAAUAUGUGUACCCAUUACAUCAUAACAAGUCCAGAACCCUUUUUAUCUAUCAUAUAAAUGUUGGUUGAUGAGUGAAAACUAACAAGCCAGUAGUUUACAAUAUGCCUCCAGGAGAGCCCUAGAAAUGUGACUGUGCAGCAUUCUUGCAGGUUUCUUCCACCUAUUAUUCUCUAAUUUAAAGAUGACACUAUUGGACUUUUCCCUGAAGACCUUAAAAGAACGUACUACAGGGAUACUGCUACAUCGAUGUUCAUAGCAGCACAAUUCACAAUUGCUAGACUGUGGAACCAACCCAGAUGCCCUUCAAUAGAUGAAUGGAUAAAAAAAAUGUGGCAUUUAUACACCAUGGAGUAUUACGCAGCACUAAAAAAUGACAAAAUCAUAGAAUUUGCAGGGAAAUGGAUGGCACUAGAGCAGAUUAUGCUUAGUGAAGC